CUACUGACGGUGCCCUGCUGAGGGUUUUAAAGGGAACGCGGUAAGGUCUCAAGCCGAUGCCGUGGCUGCGCCCGCAACUGUAAGUGGCGAGCUCAUCUUUCAACAUCUGCCACUGGGCUACAUAGCCUGGGAAGGCGAAGGGUUGAGCAUGGAGCCGCAAGCCAGGAAACCUGCCGUCCA
rnacentral:ncRNA from 1 species